rnacentral:rRNA from 1 species
UUAAGCGACUAAGCGUACACGGUGGAUGCCCUGGCAGUCAGAGGCGAUGAAGGACGUGCUAAUCUGCGAUAAGCGUCGGUAAGGUGAUAUGAACCGUUAUAACCGGCGAUUUCCGAAUGGGGAAACCCAGUGUGAUUCGUCACACUAUCAUUAACUGAAUCCAUAGGUUAAUGAGGCGAACCGGGGGAACUGAAACAUCUAAGUACCCCGAGGAAAAGAAAUCAACCGAGAUUCCCCCAGUAGCGGCGAGCGAACGGGGAGGAGCCCAGAGCCUGAAUCAGUGUGUGUGUUAGUGGAAGCGUCUGGAAAGGCGCGCGAUACAGGGUGACAGCCCCGUACACAAAAAUGCACAUACUGUGAGCUCGAUGAGUAGGGCGGGACACGUGGUAUCCUGUCUGAAUAUGGGGGGACCAUCCUCCAAGGCUAAAUACUCCUGACUGACCGAUAGUGAACCAGUACCGUGAGGGAAAGGCGAAAAGAACCCCGGCGAGGGGAGUGAAAAAGAACCUGAAACCGUGUACGUACAAGCAGUGGGAGCCUCUUAAUGGGGUGACUGCGUACCUUUUGUAUAAUGGGUCAGCGACUUAUAUUCUGUAGCAAGGUUAACCGAAUAGGGGAGCCGAAGGGAAACCGAGUCUUAACUGGGCGUUAAGUUGCAGGGUAUAGACCCGAAACCCGGUGAUCUAGCCAUGGGCAGGUUGAAGGUUGGGUAACACUAACUGGAGGACCGAACCGACUAAUGUUGAAAAAUUAGCGGAUGACUUGUGGCUGGGGGGGAAAGGCCAAUCAAACCGGGAGAUAGCUGGUUCUCCCCGAAAGCUAUUUAGGUAGCGCCUCGUGAAUUCAUCUCCGGGGGUAGAGCACUGUUUCGGCAAGGGGGUCAUCCCGACUUACCAACCCGAUGCAAACUGCGAAUACCGGAGAAUGUUAUCACGGGAGACACACGGCGGGUGCUAACGUCCGUCGUGAAGAGGGAAACAACCCAGACCGCCAGCUAAGGUCCCAAAGUCAUGGUUAAGUGGGAAACGAUGUGGGAAGGCCCAGACAGCCAGGAUGUUGGCUUAGAAGCAGCCAUCAUUUAAAGAAAGCGUAAUAGCUCACUGGUCGAGUCGGCCUGCGCGGAAGAUGUAACGGGGCUAAACCAUGCACCGAAGCUGCGGCAGCGACGCUUAUGCGUUGUUGGGUAGGGGAGCGUUCUGUAAGCCUGUGAAGGUGGCCUGUGAGGGUUGCUGGAGGUAUCAGAAGUGCGAAUGCUGACAUAAGUAACGAUAAAGCGGGUGAAAAGCCCGCUCGCCGGAAGACCAAGGGUUCCUGUCCAACGUUAAUCGGGGCAGGGUGAGUCGACCCCUAAGGCGAGGCCGAAAGGCGUAGUCGAUGGGAAACAGGUUAAUAUUCCUGUACUUGGUGUUACUGCGAAGGGGGGACGGAGAAGGCUAUGUUGGCCGGGCGACGGUUGUCCCGGUUUAAGCGUGUAGGCUGGUUUUCCAGGCAAAUCCGGAAAACCAAGGCUGAGGCGUGAUGACGAGGCACUACGGUGCUGAAGCGACAAAUGCCCUGCUUCCAGGAAAAGCCUCUAAGCAUCAGGUAACAUUAAAUCGUACCCCAAACCGACACAGGUGGUCAGGUAGAGAAUACCAAGGCACUUGAGAGAACUCGGGUGAAGGAACUAGGCAAAAUGGUGCCGUAACUUCGGGAGAAGGCACGCUGAUAUGUAGGUGAAGCGACUUGCUCGUGGAGCUGAAAUCAGUCGAAGAUACCAGCUGGCUGCAACUGUUUAUUAAAAACACAGCACUGUGCAAACACGAAAGUGGACGUAUACGGUGUGACGCCUGCCCGGUGCCGGAAGGUUAAUUGAUGGGGUUAGCGGUAACGCGAAGCUCUUGAUCGAAGCCCCGGUAAACGGCGGCCGUAACUAUAACGGUCCUAAGGUAGCGAAAUUCCUUGUCGGGUAAGUUCCGACCUGCACGAAUGGCGUAAUGAUGGCCAGGCUGUCUCCACCCGAGACUCAGUGAAAUUGAACUCGCUGUGAAGAUGCAGUGUACCCGCGGCAAGACGGAAAGACCCCGUGAACCUUUACUAUAGCUUGACACUGAACAUUGAGCCUUGAUGUGUAGGAUAGGUGGGAGGCUUUGAAGUGUGGACGCCAGUCUGCAUGGAGCCGACCUUGAAAUACCACCCUUUAAUGUUUGAUGUUCUAACGUGGGCCCCUUACCGGGGUUGCGGACAGUGUCUGGUGGGUAGUUUGACUGGGGCGGUCUCCUCCUAAAGAGUAACGGAGGAGCACGAAGGUUGGCUAAUCCUGGUCGGACAUCAGGAGGUUAGUGCAAUGGCAUAAGCCAGCUUGACUGCGAGCGUGACGGCGCGAGCAGGUGCGAAAGCAGGUCAUAGUGAUCCGGUGGUUCUGAAUGGAAGGGCCAUCGCUCAACGGAUAAAAGGUACUCCGGGGAUAACAGGCUGAUACCGCCCAAGAGUUCAUAUCGACGGCGGUGUUUGGCACCUCGAUGUCGGCUCAUCACAUCCUGGGGCUGAAGUAGGUCCCAAGGGUAUGGCUGUUCGCCAUUUAAAGUGGUACGCGAGCUGGGUUUAGAACGUCGUGAGACAGUUCGGUCCCUAUCUGCCGUGGGCGCUGGAGAACUGAGGGGGGCUGCUCCUAGUACGAGAGGACCGGAGUGGACGCAUCACUGGUGUUCGGGUUGUCAUGCCAAUGGCACUGCCCGGUAGCUAAAUGCGGAAGAGAUAAGUGCUGAAAGCAUCUAAGCACGAAACUUGCCCCGAGAUGAGUUCUCCCUGACUCCCUGAGAGUCCUGAAGGAACGUUGAAGACGACGACGUUGAUAGGCCGGGUGUGUAAGCGCAGCGAUGCGUUGAGCUAACCGGUACUAAUGAACCGUGAGGCUUAACCUU